CCAUUCAAGAUUGGAAAGAGAGGAAGCAAGAUCCUAGCGACAAGUCGAAAUGUAGAUGCCUUCUCGGAUCUUGGUCCUGAUGUGAGAUGUGCUAAUUUUCCAAUUAGUGACUUGGAUGAUAGUAUGUUCCUUGAGCUAUUCAUGUAUUAUGCACUUGGAGAUGGGAAUGCAAACAAUGGAGCUGGGAGCACACUCUGGAAUAUUGGGGCCCACAUUGCAGAAAAGCUGAAGAGGUCACCUCUGUUAGAUGUGUAUAGUCUCUUUACGGAAUAUCCCCAUUGUAUAAGGGGUUUCCUGCACUUUGACACACAUGUAUAUGUAAUCGCCUUUGGCCCUUAGUAAAGUUCAGCUGCAGUUUAUCCAACAUGGUAUCAGAUGUUACGUUUCCCUCUCUCCCGCACGCUGCAACUCUGUGCUAGUUCCUCCCCCAAUCCGCCCACUGCCAGGUCCGGAUCUUCUCGCAGCGGAUCCGGCCGUAUCAGCUCUCCUCGCCGCGGAUCCGGACGCCCAGGUCCUCCUCACUGCGGCUCCGGCCACCCCGGCCUGCUCCGCUGCCCGGCUCGGACCAGCCGCCGCCGCCUCCUGCCGGCGGGCCACCAUCGCCCUCCCCUGCUUCGCUUGGCGGAUUCACCGGGGGCCGGCCCUCGCUUGACCGCUAGCUCUCUCCGCUCGGCCGCCGUCUGCUGCUUCCGCUGUGGAAGCUGCUGCUUCCCUACGCGCAGGGCGUGCGCGAGCGCUCGUUCGGCCGCUGGCCUGUUGCUCGAGCCGCUGGCUCUGCCCACCUCGUGUGCACGCGCGCGGGCGUGAGCGAGCGCCUCGGCUCGGUCCGGUCUCAGUCCGGCCGGCCCGUUGACUCCAGGAGACGAGAGCUCUGCUCGAUCUGUUUUCAAUUUGGCCCUCUCACUCCGGACUCAGUCCGGGCCUCUCGCUCCGGACUCAGUUCGGGCUUCUUGAUCCGCAUUCAGUUCGGGUCCAAAAAAAUUGAGAUAUCUCAGUAUCUCAUCUUCAGGCUAUGUGGUUGUUCCUCGCUGCUCAGUGAUCUUUGAUGGCAGCAACUAUGCUGAGUUUGUGGGCUUCAUGCGUAUUCAUAUGUGCGGCCUUCUGCUGUGGGGCGUUCUCUCUGGCGAGUUACCCUUGUCGGUGUCAAAACCGGCGGAUCUCGGGUAGGGGGUCCCGAACUGUGCGUCUAAGGCCGAUGGUAACAGGAGGCGGGGGACACAAUGUUUACCCAGGUUCAGGCCCUCUCGAUGGAGGUAAUACCCUACUUCCUUCUUGAUUGAUCUUGAUGAUAUGAGUAUUACAAGAGUUGAUCUACCACGAGAUCAUAGAGGCUAAACCCUAGAAGCUAGCCUAUGAUUAUGAUUGUUGUUGUCCUACGGACUAAACCCUCCGGUGUAUAUAGACACCGGAGGGGGCUAGGGUUACACAGAGUCGGUUACAAGGGAGGAGAUCUACAUAUCCGAAUUGCCAAGCUUGCCUUCCACGCAAAGGAGAGUCCCACCCGGACACGGGACGAAGUCUUCAAUCUUGUAUCUUCAUAGUCCAACAGUCCGGCCAAGGUAUAUAGUCCGGCUGUCUGAGGACCCCCUAAUCCAGGACUCCCUCAGUAGCCCCUGAACCAGGCUUCAAUGACGAUGAGUCCGGCGCGCAGAUUGUCUUCGGCAUUGCAAGGCGGGUUCUUCCUCUGAAUACUCCAUAGAAGAUUUUGAACACAAGGAUCGUGUCCGGCUCUGCAAAACAAAUUCCACAUACCACCGUAGAGAGUACAAUAUCCCACAAAUCUAAUCUGCUGACAAAUUUCAUAGCGUGACAUCAUGCCACGGCCCGGUCAUUAUUCAAACCGUUUUCCUCAACCAGCUACUGCACAUAUUGCGAGGCGGUUUUCUUGGCAUGUCUUGUCAAAGCAGAGAUCGUGUCCCCUUAUCACGGGAUUCUCAUCAAUACGGGUGUGGGUAACCCAACCACGCCAUCAAUCACGGCGCUUGGGGAAUAAGCGAGUUUACUAGGCAAGUGGGGAGGCGCAGAAUCCAUGCUGCCUUUAUAAGGGGAUAAGAACUCCCUUUUGCACCCACGCUUUCUUCUUCCUCAUCCAUUCCCCUUCGCUCGAGCUCCAGCGCCCGAGCAUUCGUCUUCUCUGCCCACAAAGGUCUUCCGAAAUUGUCCGGAUCCGGAGUAGGAGGCAAGUGGAUGGCCUCUACCGUCCGGGAGAAGGAUAUCAAAAUGCUUCGGGAGGCCGGGUAUCUGGCCAAGAAAAUCAGCCACCGUCUCCCGACGGCGGGACAGAUCGUCCCUACUCCAGAACCCCACGAGAGGGUUGUACUCCUUACCCACUUCAUCCGCGGGCUGGGAUUUCCCCUCCACCCAUUUGUCCGCGAGCUCAUGUUCUACUACGGGCUGGACUUCCAUGAUCUGGCCCCUAAUUUCAUCCUCAACAUCUCGGCAUUUAUCGUCGUGUGCGAGGCCUUCCUCCGCAUCAAGCCCCACUUCGGCCUGUGGCUGAAGACCUUCAACGUGAAACCGAAGGUGGUGGUCGGCCAGCAAGCGGAGUGCAGAGGCACCAUGGUGGGAAAAAUGCCCAACGUCACAUGGCUCGAAGGCUCCUAUGUGGAGACCGUGAAGGGGUGGCAAUCGGGGUGGUUCUACAUCACCGAGCCGCGCGACACCAACUGGGUGGCGGCCCCCGAAUUUCGAUCCGGCAUCCCCAUGCGGCUCACCUCCUGGAAAGAGAAGGGCCUAUCCUGGGGUUCAUCGGCGGAGCUGACCGGACUCCAAAACUGUGUUAAAAACAUGAUAAGCAAGAAAAUCAAGCUUGUCAACGUGGUCCAGGUCAUGCUCUUCCGCCGGAUCCUCCCGUGCCAAAGACGGGCAUUCAAUAUGUGGGAGUUCGACCCGGCCAAGCACCAGACGCUGUGAGAGCUUUUCGACACGACGCACCAAGACGUCUGGAAGCUGCUGUUCAAGGCCGCCGAGUACCUCCUCCGCUUACCGAGGAUCGCGGACUCAACGCAAAGCACCCUGCCAAUCCGGUAAGCUCUUUAUAUCUCAUAAGAUGUUCCUUUCCCCAGUAUAAUCAUGUGAGGGAUCUGAGCCUCCACGCCAUUUUAACAGGACUGGGUAGCGACAGCGGAGUGGAUCGAUUGUCCGGCCCCACUGCCCGAAGAUCCAGCAAGGGCUCUCUUAAGGGGAGAUGCUGGUUCCGGCGCCCUAUGAGGCGCCGGAGAAGAAGGUGAAGAAGAAGGCCGCGGGGACCAGGAAAGGUCUCCGGCGCAAGGUUGUAUCAGACUCAUCGUUCGAUAACACCAAGGCGCCCUCCUCCCACGAAAACGAGGAGGAGGAAGAGGAAAGUUCUCCCCCACCCCCCAGCCGGGGGAGACAAGAAAAGGAAGGCCGCCCCAUCUGGGGAGGCCGAAGGGUCCAAGAAGGGAAGGACCCUCCUUCCGGACUACUCCAUAACAGCCGCUUACAGCGACGAGGAGUGGUUGCCCAGGGACAAGCCCCUGGCGAAGUCGUAAGUAUCCGGAUACCAUAAUAGUUCUGGUAUGUUUUGUUUUAUUGCUUCUUAUCAUGCCAAACAUGAUCAUGCAGUCCAUCCAAAGCCCAUAACGACGUAUCCUCUUCGGAUGAGUCUUUGGGCCAGUCGGCGAUGAACAGCGAUUCACUCCCGACCGCCACCUCCCCCCGUCCUACGGACGACGUCGAGGUGUUGUCUCAAAGGGCACUGAACCAAGGGGAGAUAGUUCUGGAGGCGCCCCAAGGCGACAUCCCAGACGCUGGGCGCAUGGGGGGCAAGACUCCCAUGGGCUCUAAUGACGGGGGCAACAAGUUUGGCCCCCAGCCGAAUACUGCGCCGGAACCUCCAGUGGUUCUGGAUUUUGUCAGGCGACCCCUCGCUAAGGGGGGCGAGCCGUCUGUGCCGAUGGCCUUUGUCCAUCCAGAGGCAUCGGACAAUUUGCUGGAAGCGCUUCGCGGCGCUUCCAUUGACGAAGAGCACCGCACUAUCAUGAGUGCGGUGGUUGAGAAGGUUCGGUCCGCCAAAAGCGGACUGACUAAAGCCUGUGCCAGCCUCCUAACAGGCUUUGAGGUAAGUAAUCAAAUUAUGAGAAAAUGUUAUAGCAUAGACAGUAGCCCCUGAUGCUCUGUUUGGUGUUCGCAAAGAAAGGCCAAACAGAGGAUCAAAUAAUAAUCACAGAAGUCUAAUCAGAAUAUGUCUAUGCGAAUAAGCAGGCUUCGCUGCUGGCCACUGCCGCUCAUACGGCGGAGGUCUCCGCACUGAAGCGGGACCUUGAGCGGUCCGAGGAAGAGCUCGGCCUUACCAAGAGGCAGCUCGAAGAGAACAAAGGUAAGUGAUACCCCGUCUGUAUAUUGAUAAAGAAAAAAGAAGGUGGUUGUUAGAUCAUAGGAUCGUCAUGAAUUUUGCUAGGGGCCACGACCAAAGUGGCGGCCUUGAAGAAGGCGUUGUCCGAGGCCGAAGACAAAGCGGCCAAGGAGCGCACCGAGCGCGAGAAGCAAGAGGCCCGAGUCAGCGAGGUUCAGCAAGAGCUCCAGGAUUUUGUCAAGAAAUACGAGUCCUUGGAGCGUGACUCUAAGACGCAAGGGUCGGAGCUUGCGAAGGCCCUCGAGAACGCACAAAAUGCCAAGGCCGAAGCCCAAAAGGCCCUCCAGGAAAUUCAGGCGGUCAAGAAGAUAGCGGCGGGUAAGGCAUUCAUUAUGCAAAGCAAGCAUGUGAAGGAAACUUUCCUCUUACUUACCCGAAUUCAGAGCUCUCGAGGAGCGUUCGCAGAUCUACCCAGCAGCGUAUCGGAUGCCGCGGAGUUCUACCGGGCCGAGGAAGGGAGCUCGACGGAGAAGUUGUUCUGGUCUCAGUAUACUGGGACCGAACAUCCGAUGCCCUUGAGCGACCAGUUGAAGCAACUGGUCGAGCUUCACAAGGCGGCCGAACUGGCCAUGAAGGGUCUCAUAGUCCGGAUGUGGCCUGGCGAGCCCCUGCCUGGCAGCUACUUCAGCCUGGUAAAGCGGCUUGUGAAUGCCUGCCCACGGUUUGAAGUCAUAAAGCGGUCCGUCUGCAUUGAAGGUGCGCAGGGCCUUUGCCCGUGCGAAAGUGCACUGGGCGAAGAUGGACGCCGAAAAGCUGGUGAAGGAGGGGCCGCCGGAGGGCAAGGAGCAUCGCCACCCCGAGAAGUAUUAUGACAGUGUCCUGAAGGGUGCUCGCCUUGUGACGGAGGAAUGUGCUAAGGAUGUAAUAUUUGAAUGAAUGUACUCAUGUGAUCCUGUAAUGUGAAAACGAGUUCAUGUGCGCUAUAUAACGCUUGUUGAUUUAAAAUAUUACCUUCUGUGCGGCCGUUUAUAAAAUCUAAGAGUGGCUAGUCGUCGGCUUCUGCCCCCAUGUAACUAGUACUGAGGUGUUCGGGAUAAACCUGAUCACUCUUUAUCCCAGUUUUGGGUCCUUCGAAGGAGGUGUUCAGCACAACGAACCAGACAAUCGAACUAUAAAGCUUUAUCACUCUCACUUAGCCAUAGAAGUCUACAAUUUUAAAUUUUGGUGAAGCCCCUAGUAUUCGGAAGGCCGGACUUGGGGCGGUAUGUACGCCUAAAUCGGACAAGGCCGACUCCUCGCCCGAAGCGGAAAAAAUCUUUAAGGAUUUGAGACCUCUCGAACAGCGACCAGCUCUCGGCGCAUCAUGAUAGUCAGUUUUCGGCUUUCUCUACUGAGGUGCUCGUCCGGAAGAACCGGGACACAAUCGCAGUAGUUCUCCCAGUGCUACCUUAGCCGAUAUAGCGGAACGUAAGGUACCAAAACAUGGGAGCCGGGCAAACCCAACUAUUGACCCAAGACAUGAUUCGGAGCUGAUGCAUAUAAUGCUAUAAGUUCGGGGUGCCGCACUGUCGAAAGUGUUCGGACUUUUCAUGCCGUGUUAUGGGGUACACUGAAGCCCCUGGCGCACUGGACGUAUCAGAAUGUAUGGGUGCAAUUUGUCAUAAAUAAGCAGACAAGGAGAAAAUAUGAAGGAAUGCAAUAAUGAGCUAAUGUUGUACAUUGAUACGUCAAAGCGUAUGUAUACAAGUAGUGCAAUAAGUAAAAAUAGGACUAUUUGACAUGUCCUAUCCAAGGGCAAGCUGCGUGUGGGUAUGUAAAACAGGUAUAUCGAUCAUUAUCAGAAACCACCUGGGGAUUCCCUUGUACGUCAAAGCUUCUUGCUUCCUUGGUGUUUCCUUCCCGUGACAGGUCCGAUAAUCAAGCGAUCGGAGAGGGCCUUCAGAGAAUAGGGGCCUGAAAGGAAGAAAAUUUUAAAGAUAUACGGGUCCUGAGGCGGUUGAGCCGCAUUGUGGGACGUGCCAUAGCCGUGCCUCCGCCUAUGUCCAUGGUAUCUUGAGUGCGUAAUUAUGUACGCGCGGCGCAAAUUUCGCCGCUUGACUGGGAAUAGGACGGAGGCCGAAUUGCUAGGCGAGCUCUGAACGUGCCGAGUGAUCCUGUUGCAGGGUACUCAGGACUCGCUUGAAGGUGUCCGGGGGCUUUUUCGCCGAAUUGGCGGUUUGUCUCAGAAGGCUGCUUUUCACUUCUGCUGCGAGGGCCGCAGUGUGCUCCUCCGUACGGAGCGAGCGUUCUGUGUUUCCAUUAACUGUUAUAACCCCGCGAGUUCCUGGCAUUUUGAGCUUGAGGUAUGCAUAAUGUGGUACCGCAUUGAAUCUGGCGAAUGCGGUUCGUCCGAGCAGUGCAUGAUAGCCACUGCGGAAGGGGACGAUAUCGAAGAUUAACUCCUCGCUUCGGAAGUUGUCCGGAGAUCCGAAGACCACUUCUAGUGUGAUUGAGCCCGUGCAAUAGGCCUCUACACCUGGUAUGACACCUUUAAAGGUGGUUUUUGUGGGUUUGAUCCUUGAGGGGUCUAUACCCAUUUUGCGCACUGUAUCCUGAUAGAGCAGGUUCAGGCUGCUGCCACCAUCCAUAAGGAUUCGAGUGAGGUGAAAUCUGUCAAUGAUGGGGUCAAGGACCAAUGCGGCAGAACCGCCAUGACGGAUACUGGUGGGGUGGUCCCUAUGAUCGAAAGUGAUCGGACAAGAAGACCAUGGGUUGAACAUUGGGGCGACUGGCUCCAUCGCAUAGACGUCCCUUAGUGCACGCUUCCGUUCCCGCUUGGGAAUAUGGGUUGCGUAUAUCAUGUUCACCAUUUUCACUUGGGGAGGAAAUUUCUUCUGUCCUCCUGUGUUCGGCGGCCGGGGCUCCUCCUCGUCGUUGCUAUGCAGCCCCUUUUCCUUGUUUUCGGCAUUCAACUUGCCGGCUUGUUUGAACACCCAGCAUUCUCUGUUGGUGUGGUUGGCUGGUUUAUCGGGGGUGCCGUGAAUUUGACACGAGCGAUCGAGUAUGCGGUCCAAACUGCACGGGCCCGGAUUGCUUCUUUUGAACGCCUUUUUCCGCUGACCGGAUUUAGAGCCACUGAAUCCGGCAUUGACUACCGUGUCUUCGGUGUUGUCGCCGUUGUUACGGCGCUUGUGUCUGUUGCGACGUGGCCUGCCGUUGCUAUCUUUGGCAUCUGAAUUGCCAGGAUUUCUUGAUGUCUUGUUGCUGCGAGCCAGCCAGCUGUCCUCGCCCGCACAAAAGCAGGUCAUGAGUGUCGUGAGGGAUGCCAUGGACUUCGGCUUCUCUUGGCCGAGGUGUCGGGUGACGACUCGUCGCAGAUGUUAUGCUUAAAUGCCGCUAAGGCCUCGGCAUCCGGACAGUCGACAAUUUGGUUGUUUUUAGUUAGGAACCGAGUCCAGAAUUUCCUGGCUGAUUCUCCUGGCUGUUGGGUUAUGUGACUCAAGUCAUCGGCAUCCGGUGGUCGCACAUAAGUGCCCUGGAAGUUGUCAAGGAAUGCGUCUUCCAAAUUCUCCCAACUGCCAAUGGAGUUUGCCGGCAGGCUAUUCAGCCAAUGCCGAGCCGGCACUUUGAGUUUUAGUGGGAGGUACUUGAUGGCAUGUAGAUCGUCACCGCGGGCCAUGUGGAUGUGGAGGAGGAGAUCUUCAAUCCAUACCGCGGGGUCUGUUGUACCAUCAUAUGAUUCAAUGUUCACGGGUUUAAAACCUUAUGGGAAUUCGUGAUCCAUUACUUUGUCAGUGAAGCAUAGGGGGUGUGCGGCGCCUCUGUGCCGGGCUAUGUCACGACGCAGUUCAUACGAGUCUUGUCUGCUGUAUUCGGCCCGGCCGGAUUUGCUUUUAGUAUAUCCGGCGUGACGGUCAUCGUCACACGUUGGGGCGCGCCCCCGUGAUCCGUAGAUCGAUCUUGUAUGUCCUGCUUUGUUUUCCAAUAUGUCUCGCAGGUCCUGCGUGUUGCCCCGGGCCUUGGUGUUUUUGCUUGACUGGCGGCGGGGUGCGGGCUGGACUUCGGGCUGAUAUGCCGCUUUGUCUCGGCCACGAGGUGGCUGGUCAGCCGCAUCAUACACUAGAAGUGUAGGCUUUAAUGCCUCCUCCUCGAGUUGGGGUAGCAACCUGCGCUUUGGGUAACUUUUGGUUGGGCGCUCGAGUUCGUAUUCCUCGGCCGCCAGGACCUCGGUCCAUCUAUCCGCUAGCAGAUCUUGGUCAGCUUGAAGCUGUUGUUGCUUUUUCUUCAGGAUUUUUGCUGUGGCUAUAAGCCGGCGCUUGAAGCGCUCCUGCUCGACGGGAUCCUCGGGCACGAUAAAUUCUUCAUCGUCGAGGCUCACCUCGUCUUCGGAGAGGGGCAUGUAAUUGUCAUCCUCUGAUUCUCCGUCUGCUGCCUGUUCCUUAGGGCAAGCUUGCCCAUCCUCCCGCUCGAAACCUGGCUGGAGGGGAUUGGCUUCGUCUUCGGCACUAUCCGCAGCGUUAUUGUCUCUUGUGCCGGUAUCGCUGCUUUUGCUAUGGCGGGGCUUAGAGUGGCGUCGAUGAUGCCGGUGCUUAGAUUGCUUCUCGGGGGGAUUAUCCUCCGUUGCCUUAUUGCCAUCGCUUUCUUUGGGGGUGUCCACCAUGUAUAUAUCAUAUGAUGAGGUGGCAGUCCAGCGCCCUGUGGGCGGUGGUUCCUGUUCUUCUCCUGCAUCGUCGUCCAUACCGUCGAUGUCUUCGGAGCCGAAAUCGAGCAUGUCGGUUAAGUCGUCGACAGUGGCUAUUAAGUGGGUGGUGGGUGGGGAACAAAUUUCUUCGUCGUCCGCUUCCCACUCAAGCCGGACAUAGUUCGGCCAAGGGCCUCCUGACAAGGAGAGAGACCUUAAUGAAUUUAGCAUGUCGCCCAGGGGCGAGUGCUGAAAGAUAUCCGCGGAGGAAAACUCCAUGAUCAGUGCCCAAAUAGAUUCGAUAGGCAUGGACGUAGGCGGUUCGGAGCCCGUGGCCGGGGACGAAUCCAAGGGUCUGGCAACACAGGUCUCAUAGGAGGUGAAGUCAGUAUUCAGCUCUAUCGCUGCUGAGUGUGCGGCCUCCGUGGCGGGGUCCAUCCACCCGUCCUCGGACGGCGCGAUCUGCUCCAGAUUGAGGGCCGGAGUGGCCACAGGUGUGAUCUCCCGAACACCGUCCGACGGCAGAGCUAAGUCAUGCUCGUCGUGACUGUGCGGCGCACCUGACAUGGGCUCGAAUCCGUCGAAGAUCAAGUCUCCACGGAUGUCGGCAGUAUAGUUUAAGUUUCCAAACCUGACCUGACGGCCAGGGGCGUAGCUCUCGAUCUGCUCCAGAUGGCCAAGCGAGUUGGCCCGCAGUACGAAGCCGCUGAAUACGAAGAUCUGUUCAGGGAGAAAAACCUCACCCUGGAUCGCAUCGUUGCCGAUGAUCGAAGGAGCCAUCAAGCCUUUAUUGCGACGGCACAGUGGAACUCUCAAUGAAAGCACCAAUGUCGAUGUCAAAACCGGCGGAUCUCGGGUAGGGGGUCCCGAACUGUGCGUCUAAGGCGGAUGGUAACAGGAGGCGGGGGACACAAUGUUUACCCAGGUUCGGGCCCUCUCCGAUGGAGGUAAUACCCUACUUCCUGCUUGAUUGAUCUUGAUGAUAUGAGUAUUACAAGAGUUGAUCUACCACGAGAUCGUAGAGGCUAAACCCUAGAAGCUAGCCUAUGAUUAUGAUUGUUGUUGUCCUACGGACUAAACCCUCCGGUUUAUAUAGACACCGGAGGGGGCUAGGGUUACACAGAGUCGGUUACAAGGGAGGAGAUCUACAUAUCCGAAUUGCCAAGCUUACCUUCCAUGCAAAGGAGAGUCCCACCCGGACACGGGACGAAGUCUUCAAUCUUGCAUCUUCAUAGUCCAACAGUCCGGCCAAGGUAUAUAGUCCGGCUGUCCGAGGACCCCCUAAUCCAGGACUCCCUCAACCCUGUCCGCCAUGCCCUGUUGCUCCAGUGGCUCCUGUUCCGCCUGUUCCGCCGGUGCUUGCUGCUGAUGCUUCUCAGACUGAUCGGGAUGCAGCCAAGGCUAUUGAUGAUGCUGCAGUUUAUGCUAAAGAUCAGCAGGUAUCUGCCUACUCUGAUGCUCUUUCUGUCUACCGGGAUGAUCUGUCUUCUUACACGCAGUGGUGUAAUCAUGAUGCUCGUGCUGCUGCUAUUCUCACUGCGAGUGUUCUCCCUCAGUUUGCUUCGGAGUUCAUGGGCCUCGGCACUAUUGCAGCGAUGUGGUCCUACCUUUGUCAGCGCUAUCAGCCCUCUGGUGAUGCUCUAUAUCUUUUUGUGGUGCAUCAGGAGCAUGCUCUUCAGCAGGGUGACUCGUCUGUUGAUGAGUUCUGUUCUGCCAUCUGGCGUCAGCUUGACUCACUACGGACAGUUGUUUGUGGCACUUGUCGUUGCUGUCAGACUACGCGGUCUGACUUGGAGUUUCAGCGGGUUCAUGAGUUCUUAACUCGUCUCCGCUCUGAUCAAGCCUCGACGUGCUCACCUGCUUGCUCGUGGUCGUGUUCCUAUCUCAGAGGUACUUGCUGAGCUUCGUGCUGAGGAGACCCGCCUUCGCUCUGCUGGGUUACUUGUGGUUCCUUCAGUGUUGGCCACCCGGGCUCCUAAGUUAGCUGCUCGCCUCACUGAUCCACCACUCCUGCCCACUCCUUCAGGGGGGUGAGCCGUCCUCUUUAUGCUGAGAAGAGUACGUCGCACUGUGACACUUUCUGUGGUUACUGCUCCCGGUCAGGUCACCCAGAGUCUGAUUGUCGCCAGAAGAAGCGAGACCAGAGACGCUCCUCUUCCAGUGGUCCUCCUGCGUCUUCCUCGACUCCGUCACUCACUGACCAGGACAUUGUACGCCUCAAGCGUCAGCUUGCCUCCUCCGGCUCCUCGUCGACUGGUUCAGUUGCUGCUAUGAUAGCAUCCUCUUCCACACCACCGCAGGCCUCUACACAGUCAGGUAUAUCCUCGUGGGUUCUGGAUUCUGGAGCCUCCUUUCAUAUGUCUUCUGAUUCUUCUGUGUUGUCUUCUCUCCGACCUCUUGAUUCACCUGUUAAUGUUCUUACCGCCGAUGGCACACCUCUUCCUGUUGCUAGUCGUGGUCUUCUUUCCACUCCAUCCUUUUCUGUUCCUAGUGUUUCCCAUGUUCCUCGCCUUACCAUGAAUCUUUUUUCUGCUGCCCAACUCACUGAUUCUGGUUGUCGUGUCAUUCUUGAUAUCGACUCUUGCUCCAUUCAGGAUCGUCGCACCAAGGCUUUGGUUGGUGCUGGCCCCCGGCGCCGUGAGCCAGAGGGCCUUUGGGAGGUUGACUGGCUUUGUGUUCCUUCCGCUGCCACCACUUCUGCCAACUCCCAUGCUCUUGCUGCCUCUUCGUCUGCGUCAUUCCAGCAGUGGCAUCAUCAUCUUGGUAACAUCUGUGGCUCUCGCUUGUCUUUGUUAGUUCGUCAGGGCUUCUUAGGGUCUGUAUCUGGAGAUGUCUCCUUACAUUGUAAUGGUUGCAGACUUGGCAAGCAGACUCAGUUACCUUAUCCUACUAGUGAUUUUGUAUCUCAUCGUCCUUUUGACUUAGUUCAUUCUGAUGUCUGGGGUCCUGCUCCCUUUGAUUCGAAAGGUGGCCAUCGCUACUAUGUUUUGUUUAUUGAUGAUUUCUCUCGCUACACUUGGCUCUACUUCAUGAAAUCUCGCAGCGAGGUUCUCUCUAUAUACAAACGUUUUUUUGCCAUGGUUCACACCCAGUUUUCCACGCCCAUUCGCACCUUUCGUGCUGACUCUGCUGGAGAGUAUAUCUCUCAGCUGUUGCGCGGUUUUCUCGCGGAACAGGGUACUCUUGCCCAGUUCUCAUGUCCUGGUGCUCAUGCUCAGAAUGGCGUUGCCGAACGUAAGCAUCGUCAUUUACUUGAGAUGGCUCAUGCGCAGAUGAUUGCAGCUUCCCUUCCACCCCAUUUUUGGGCUGAGGCUGUUUCUGCAUCCACCUAUCUCAUCAACAUUUAGCCAUCGACUGCUCUACAGGGUGGUAUUAUCUGGAGUGUCUCACUGGUCGCUCUCCUGACUACUCCGCUCUCCGUAUGUUUGGAUGUGUGUGCUAUGUUCUUCUUGCCCCCCGAGAACGCACCAAACUGACUGCUCAGUCGGUUGAGUGUGUUUUCCUUGGUUAUAGUGAUGAGCACAAGGGCUAUUGAUACGUCUUCAACGUAUCUAUAAUUAAUGAAGUAUUCAUGCUAUUAUAUUAUCUGUUUUGGAUGUUUAUGGGCUUUACUAAAUACUUUUAUAUUAUUUUUGGGACUAACCUAUUAACCGGAGGCCCAGCCCAAAUUGUUGUUUUCUUGCCUAUUUCAGUGUUUCGAAGAAAAGGAAUAUCAAACGGAGUCCGAAUGGAAAGAAACCUUCGGGAGAGUUAUUUUUGGAAUGGAAGCAAUCCAGGAGACUUGGUGUAGACGUCAGGGAAGCUUCGAGGAAGCCACGAGGCAGGGAGGCGCGCCCCCCACCCUCGUGGGCCCCUCGUGCCUCCCCUGACCGACUUCUUUCGCCUAUAUAUAUAUAUAUAUAUAUAUAUAUAUAUAUAUAUAUAUAUAUAUAUAUAUAUAUAUAUAUAUAUAUAUAUACCCUAAAAACAUCGAGGAGCAUAAUAGAUCGGGAGUUCCGCCGCCGCAAGCCUUUGUAGCCACCAAAAACAAAUCGGGACCCUGUUCCGGCACCCUGCCGGAGGGGGGAUCCCUCACCGAUGGCCAUCUUCAUCAUCCCGGCGCUCUCCAUGACGAGGAGGGAGUAGUUCACCCUCGGGGCUGAGGGUAUGUGCCAGUAGCUAUGUGUUUGAUCUCUCUCUCUCGUGUUCUUGAGGUGGUACGAUCUUGAUGUAUCACGAGCUUUGCUAUAAUAGUUGGAUCUUAUUAUGUUUCCCCCCCUCUACUCUCUUCUAAUUGAUUGAGUUUUCCCUUUGAAGUUAUCUUAUCGGAUUGAGUCUUUAAGGAUUUGAGAACACUAUGUAUGUCUUGCAUGGGAUGCCCAUGGUGACAAUGGGGUAUUCUAUUGAUUCACUUGAUGUAUGUUUUGGUGAUCAACUUGCGGGUUCCGUUUGUGAACUUAUGCAUAGGGGUUGGCACACGUUUUCGUCUUGGCUCUCCGGUAGAAACUUUGGGGCACUCUUUGAAGUUCUAUGUGUUGGUUGAAUAGAUGAAUCUGAGAUUGUGUGAUGCAUAUCGUAUAAUCAUACCCAUGGAUACUUGAAGUGGCAUUAGGGUUUUGGUUGAUUUGUGUCUUAAGGUGUUAUUCUAGUACGAACUCUAUGAUAGAUCGAACGGAAAGAAUAGCUUCGUGUUAUUUUACUACGGACUCUUGAAUAGAUCGAUCAGAAAGAAUAACUUUGAGGUGGUUUCAUACCCUACAAUAAUCUCUUCGUUUGUUCUCCGCUAUUAGUGACUUUGGAGUGACUCUUUGUUGCAUGUUGAGGGAUAGUUAUAUGAUCCAAUUAUGUUAUUAUUGUUGAGAGAACUUGCACUAGUGAAAGUAUGAACCUUAGGCCUUAUUUCCUAGCAUUGCAAUACCGUUUACGCUCAUUUUUAUCAUUAGUUACCUUGCUAUUUUUAUAUUUUCAGAUUACAAAUACUCAUAUCUAUCAUCCAUAUGCACUUGUAUCACCAUCUCUUCGCCGAACUAGUGCACCUAUACAAUUUACCAUUGUAUUGGGUGUGUUGGGGACACAAGAGACUCUUUGUUAUUUGGCUGCAGGGUUGCUUGAGAGAGACCAUCUUCAUCCUGCGCCUCCCAUGGAUUGAUAAACAUUAGGUCAUACACUUGAGGGAAAUUUGCUACUGUCCUACAAACCUCUGCACUUGGAGGCCCAACAACGUCUACAAGAAGAAGGUUGCGUAGUAGACAUCAAGCUCUUUUCUGGCGCCGUUGCCAGGGAGGUUAGUGCUUGAAGGUAUAUAUUUAGAUAUUGCAAUCGAAUCUUUUAGUUUCUUGUUUUAUCACUAGUUUUGGUUAUAAAAUAAAAGUACAAAAAAAUGGAAUUGAGGGUGCCUCAUAUGCUUCAUCUUUUUAAUAUCUUUCGUGAAAAUGAUGGAAAGGAAAAUUGUGCUCAAGUACUAGAAGAAGAAUUACAUAGAAUGCUUGGCAUAAAAUAUGUGAAUGAUGAGCAUGAUUGCAAUGUUGUUAGUAUGAAUUCUUUGAAUACUCAUGAUGCUAAUGAUAUGCAACGCCACAAGCUUGGGGAUGCUAUGUUUGAUGAAGAUGAUAUGUUUAGUCCCCCAAGUUUUGAUGAGCAAAUAUAUUAUGAUGAAAGCAUGCUUUCUAUCUAUGAUGAUUAUUGUGAUGACACGUAUGCUCUAAAGAAUAAUGAUAACCAUGAAACUUGUCAUCUUGAUUUCAAUUUUCAAUCCCAUGAUAGUUAUUUUCUUGAAUUUGCUCCCACUAUUCCGAAUGAGAAUUUUGCUUAUGUGGAGAGUAAUAAAAUUUCUAUGCAAAUAGAUCAUGAAAAGAAUGCUUUAUGUGCUGGUUAUAUGGUUGAAUUCAUUCAUGAUGCUACUGAAAAUUAUUAUGAGGGAGGAACAUAUGCUUGUAGGAAUUGCAAUAAUAUCAAGUUUCCUCUCUAUGUGCUUAAAGUUAUAAAGUUAUGCUUGUUUUGCCUUCCUAUGCUAGUUGAUUAUUGUUCCCAUAAGUUGUUUGCUCACAAAAUCCCUAUGCAUAGGAAGUGCCUUAGACUUAAAUGUGCUAGUCAUAUUCUUCAUGAUGCUCCCUUUAUGUUUCAAAUCUUAUCUUUUAUGUGAGUAUCAUUGAAAUCAUCAUGCCUAGCUAGCGGCGUUAAACGUUAGCGCUUGUUGGGAGGCAACCCAAUUUUUAUUUUUAUUUUUACUUUUUGCUUUUUGCUCCUGUUUAGUAAUAAAUAAAUCAUCUAGCCUCUGGUUAGAUGUGGUUUUAUGUUUUAAUUAGUGUUUGUGCCAAGUAAGACCUAUAGGAUCUUCUUGGAUGAUAAUUAUUUGAUCUUGCUGAAAAAGACAGAAACUUUCUGCUCACGAAAACAAUUGUUAAAAAUCACCAGAAAGAGAUAAAAUACUGAUUCUAAUUGCAGUAGAUCAAUAAUAAAAUUAUCCAGGUCGUCCUAUUUUGGCAGAUUUUUAUGAGUUUCAGAAGUUUGCAUUUGGUACAGAUUACUACAGACUCUUCUGUUUUUGACAGAUUCUGUUUUCUAUGUGUUGUUUGGUUAUUUUGAUGAAUCUAUGAGUAGUAUCGGAGGGUAUGAACCAUAGAUAAGUUGGAAUACAGUAGAUAUUACGCCAAUAUUAAUUUAUAAUGAGUUCACAACAGUACCUAAGUGGUGAGUUAUUCUCUUAUACUAAUGGAGCGUACGAGUUUUCUGUUAAGUUUUGUGUUGUGAAAUUUUCAAGUUUUGGGUAAAGAUUCGAUGGACUAUGGAAUAGGGAGUGGAAAGAGCCUAAGCUUGGGGAUGCCCAAGGAACCCCAAGGUAAUAUUCAAGGACAACCAAAAUCCUAAGCUUGGGGAUGCCCCGGAUGGCAUCCCCUCUUGCGUCUUCGUUCAUCGGUAACUUUACUUGGAGCUAUAUUUUUAUUCACCACAUGAUAUUUGUUUUGCUUGGAGUCUCAUUUUCUUUUGUUAGCAUUUGCUUGCUGUGAAUUAGAAUAAUGUUUUGCAUCUCUAUUUUCAAUAAAAAUGUCAAGGAUAGCCUUUACCAUGCUUAUUUUGCAAGUAUACAUGUUGCUGUUUCAAAACAGAAAGUUUAACGCUGUUGCAAAAAUUCCCUAGAAAAGUCAGAAUAUGAUAAAAUGUUGAAACUUAUUGCAUAUUGAGCUCUGAUAAAUUUUCUACAGUGUGGUAGAAUUUCAUAAUGUUUGUAGUUAGGGAAGUAUGAUGAAUCUUGCAUUCUUUACAGACUGUACUGUUUUGGCAGAUUGCUGUUAUGUUUGCAUAUGUUUGCUUGUUUAAUGAUUAUAUUUGAGGAUAUGAGUAUUAAAUAUGCAGAGGCAUUUAGUAUGCAAUUUUGAAUAAUAAUUUUAGUGAUUUGUUACAGUAGAAAAUGAUAAGGUUUUUGCAUUGGUUUAUACUAACUUAUCUCACGAGUUCUUGUUGAGUUUGGUGUGGAUGAAGCUUUCGAGAUUUAGAAAACCGUGAUAUGAGAGGAAUUAAGGAGACACAAAAGCUCAAGCUUGGGGGUGCCCAAGGCACCCCAAGAUAAUAUUUCAAGAAGUCUCAAGAAUCUAAGCUUGGGGAUGCCCCGGUACGCAUCCCACCUUUCUUCUUCAACAAUUAUCGGUUAGUAUCGGUUGAGCCUAAGUUUUUGCUUCUUCACAUGAUGAGUGCUAUCCUUGAAAUGUCGUUUUAUUUUGUUUUUCUUGCUGUUUGAAUAAUAUCCCAAGAUCUGAAAUUCUUAAAUGAGAGAGAGUCUUCACAUAGCUACAUAAUUAUUUAACUACUCAUUGAUCUUCACUUAUAUCUUUUUGGAGUAGUUUGUCAUUUACUCGUGUGCUUCACUUAUAUCCUAUGAGUAAAUGGUUGAAUGAUUUGAAUGUCAUAAAUCUGAAAUUAUAUAUGUUUCAUAUGACUUUCCCAUGGGGAGUAAUGCCUUCACAUAGAAGAAGUAGAGGUGGUAAAUUUUUUGAAACUUAGCAAACAUUGUAUUGGUCACUUGAACAAUUCAUGAAAGAAUAUUGAAGGAAGAGAGAUUUCACAUAUAAAUAUGCUAUCUUGGACAUCUUCUAUGAUUGUGAGCCCCAUUAAUUAUUUUCAAACCUGAGCAAAUUAGUUGAAGUUGGACAAGGAAGACAACAUAAUGAGUUAUGCUUGGGUAUAUUUGUAUAGAAGUUAUAUUGUUAUAGAUCCUCCAACAUGUGGUGCUUGCUAUUUAGAAUCCUUUGCUAGCCAAAAUAUCUGUACUAAGCGGGAAUACUGCUUGUGCAUCCAAAUUCCUUGAACCAAGUUUCUUCCAUGAGUGUCCACCAUAUCUACCUAUAUGCGGUAUUUACCUGCCGUUCCAAGUAAAUUUGCAUGUGCCAAACUCUAAACCUUCAAAUAAUAAUCUGUUUUGUAUGCCCGAAUCGCUCAUGUAGCGACUAGGGGCUGUCAGUAUCUUCCAUGCUAGGUGGGUUAUUCUCACGAUGAGUGGACUCCGCUCAUCAUUCACGAGAAAAUGGCUGGUAACUGGGAUGCCCAGUCCUAUGAUCAAAAGAUCAAAAACAAAAUCUCAAAUAAUUUAAACAAUCUCCCCCAGGAUUGUUGAUAGUUGGACGGCACCCGUUGUUUCAGACAAGCCGUGGAGUGUGAUUGUUGGUGGAGGGGGAGUAAAAUCUUUACCUUUCUGUUUGGGAACUGCCUAUAAUGUAUCUAGUAUGGAAGAUAUUGGGAACUCUUGGUCGUUAUGUUGACAAUUAAAGCAUACCUCUCAAAAUUAUUUUCAUCUUCGUUUCAAAGCUUCGAGCUCUGGCACCUCUGCAAAUCCCUGCUUCCCUCUGCGAAGGGUCUAUCUUUUACUUUUAUGCAAGAGUCAGUAGUAUUCCUUCUCAUCCCAACCUACUUUUAGUUGGCAAGCAUCAUGUGGUGGAGAAAGAUCUAAGCAUAUAUGGCCAUUCAAAUAUAUUUGAUCAUGAAUUAUUAUUGUUGACAAUUAUCUAUAUGAUAAAUAAGUUGGGAGGCGAAACAUUAAGCCCCUAUUGUGUUUGUUGAUGCUAUUUGUUCUAAAAAUAUGCUUUGAGUGGUAGCAAUCAUGGAAGACUAUAUGAUAGUUGAGUAUGUGGGAUUUGCUAAAUCAAAGCUCUUACAUAGACACUUCCUGAAAAUAAGAUGAAUUGCAAUCGUUUGAUGACUGUGAAAUGUUUGUUAGUUUUCAAGAAAGUUUAUGAUCUAUACUUUAACAUGUGAAUAGCUUGUUACUUGAUCAUGAGAAGCUUUAUGAUAUGAGCUACUGUUAUGACAUAUAAUGAUGCUAGAAAAGGUGAUUGAAAUUAUCAUUGACCAAACUUGUGCACCUGCUAGCAUUCACACUUCAUAAAUUAUUUCUUUUAUCAUUUACCUACUCGAGGACGAGCAGGAAUUAAGCUUGGGGAUGCUGAUACGUCUCCAACGUAUCUAUAAUUUAUGAAGUAUUCAUGCUAUUAUAUUAUCUGUUUUGGAUGUUUAUGGGCUUUAUUAAACACUUUUAUAUUAUUUUUGGGACUAAUCUAUUAACCGGAGGCCCAGCCCAAAUUGUUGUUUUCUUGCCUAUUUCAGUGUUUCGAAGAAAAGGAAUAUCAAGCGGAGUCCAAACGGAAUGAAACCUUCGGGAGAGUUAUUUUUCGAACAGAAGCAAUCCAGGAGACUUGGAGUAGACGUCAGGGAAGCUUCGAGGAAGCCACGAGGCAAGGAGGCGCGCCCUACCCCCCUGGGCUCGCCCCCACCCUCGUGGGCCCCUCGUGGCUCCCCUGACCGACUUCUUUCGCCUAUAUAUAUACAUAUACCCUAAAAACAUCGAGGAGCACAAUAGAUCGGGAGUUCCGCUGCCGCAAGCCUCUGUAGCCACCAAAAACCAAUCGGGACCUUGUUCCGGCACCCUGCCGGAGGGGGGAUCCCUCACCGGUGGCCAUCUUCAUCAUCCCGGCGCUCUCCAUGACAAGGAGGGAGUAGUUCACCCUCGGGGCUGAGGGUAUGUACCAGUAGCUAUGUAUUUGAUCUCUCUCUCUCUCUCGUGUUCUUGAGGUGGUACGAUCUUGAUGUAUCGCGAGCUUUGCUAUUAUAGUUGGAUCUUAUGAUGUUUCCCCCCCUCUACUCUCUUGUAAUGGAUUGAGUUUUCCCUUUGAAGUUAUGUUAUCGGAUUGAGUCUUUAAGGAUCUGAGAACACUUGAUGUAUGUCUUGCGUGGGAUGCCCGUGGUGACAAUGGGGUAUUCUAUUGAUUCACUUGAUGUAUGUUUUGGUGAUCAACUUGCGGGUUCCGUUUGUGAACUUAUGCAUAGGGGUUGGCACACCUUUUCGUCUUGGCUCUCCGGUAGAAACUUUGGGGCACUCUUUGAAGUUCUAUGUGUUGGUUGAAUAGAUGAAUCUGAGAUUGUGUGAUGCAUAUCGUAUAAUCAUACCCAUGGAUACUUGAGGUGACAUUGGAGUAUCUAGGUGACAUUAGGGUUUUGGUUGAUUUGUGUCUUAAGGUGUUAUUCUAGUACGAACUCUAUGAUAGAUCGAACGGAAAGAAUAGCUUCGUGUUAUUUUACUACGGACUCUUGAAUAGAUCGAUCAGAAAGAAUAACUUUGAGGUGGUUUCGUACCCUACAAUAAUCUCUUCGUUUGUUCUCCGCUAUUAGUGACUUUGGAGUGACUCUUUGUUGCAUGUUGAGGGAUAGUUAUAUGAUCCAAUUAUGUUAUUAUUGUUGAGAGAACUUGCACUAGUGAAAGUAUGAACCUUAGGCCUUAUUUCCUAGCAUUACAAUACCGUUUACGCUCACUUUUAUCACUAGUUACCUUGCUGUUUUUAUAUUUUCAGAUUACAAAUACUCAUAUCUAUCAUCCAUAUUGCACUUGUAUCACCAUCUCUUCGCCGAACUAGUGCACCUAUACAAUUUACCAUUGUAUUGGGUGUGUUGGGGACACAAGAGAAUCUUUGUUAUUUGGUUGCAGGGUUGCUUGAGAGAGACCAUCUUCAUGCUACGCCUCCCACGGAUUGAUAAACCUUAGGUCAUCCACUUGAGGGAAAUUUGCUACUGUCCUACAAACCUCUGCACUUGGAGGCCCAACAACGUCUACAAGAAGAAGGUUGCGUGGUAGACAUCAGCUAUCGAUGUUGGGAUCAUGUAGGUCGUCGCUUACGCAUCUCGCGUGAUGUGACUUUUGACGAGUCUCGUUCCUAUUACUCACUUCCUUCUUCCUUGAGUUUCUCUGUGGACGAUCUUUCUUUCCUUCUCCUUCCCGAUACACCCUGCUAUGUGCCUCCUGUGUCACCCCUUCCUCCGGCACCUCUCAUUCCUUCUCAUUCACCACCGACCCCAUCUUCUCCAUCCUCCUCCUCCACCUCUCCACCAUCAUCUCUAGUCCGUCGCCCUCUCUCACCGUUCCCUCUCCACUAUACUCGUCGCCCUCGUCCUGAGGAUGUCUCCCCUGACGCACCUUCCACCUCUGGUGCACCUCCCCUCACGCCUCCCCCGGUUCACAACCUCCGUGCUCGGCCUCGUCCUCCGCCAGAUCGCUACUCUCCUGAUCGGUAUGGUCUCUCUGUUAUUGAUGAGCCCACUUCCUAUCGGACUGCCAUGACUCAACCUGAAUGGCAGCUUGCAAUGGCCGAAGAUCUUGUUGCCCUUGAGCGCUCUGGCACAUGGGAGCUAGUUUCCCUCCCUUCCCGUAUUCGUCCCAUCACCUGCAAGUGGGUCUACAAGAUUAAGACUCACUCCGAUGGUUCUCUUGAGCGCUACAAAGCUCUUCUUGUGGCCCGUGGUUUCCAGCAAGAGCAGGGAUGCGAUUAUGAUGAGACAUUCGCUCAUGUGGCUCACAUGACCACUGUCCGCACUCUCCUUGCUGUGGCUUCUGUUCGUCAGUGGUCUAUCUCUCAACUUGAUGUCCAGAACGCCUUUCUCAAUGGCGAGUUGCGUGAGGAGGUUUACAUGCAGCCACCACCGGGGUACUAUGCCCCUGAUGGUAUGGUCUGUCGUCUUCGCCGCUCUCUCUAUGGUAUUGAACAGGCCCCUCGCGCCUGGUUUGAGCGCUUCGCCUCUGUGGUGACUGCCGCUGGUUUCUUGCCCAGUGAUCAUGAUCCCGUGUUAUUUGUCCACACGUCUCCUCAUGGUCGGACUCUUCUCCUUCUCUAUGUUGAUGACAUGAUCAUCACUGGUGACGACUCUGACUACAUGCCUUUGUUAAGGCCCGCCUUCACGACCAGUUCCUCAUGACUGAUCUUGGUCCUCUUCGCUACUUUCUUGGGAUUGAGAUCUCCUCGACCCUUGAUGGCUUCUACAUCUCUCAAGAGAAAUAUAUUCAGGAUCUUCUUGCUCGAGCUGCUCUCGGUGAUGACCGCACAGUUGUGACUCCUAUGGAGCUCAACGUUCAGCUUCGUGCCUCUGAUGGUGACCCUCUUUCUAAUCCCACUCGCUAUCAUCACCUCGUUGGUAGUCUUGUCUAUCUUGUUGUUACGCGUCCUGACAUCUCCUAUCCGGUUCACAUCCUGGGUCAGUUUGUUUCAGCCCCCACCUCUGUCCACUAUAGUCAUCUCCUCCGUGUUCUACGAUACCUUUGUGGCACGAUCUCUCAGCGCCUUUUCUUUCCCCGCUCCAGCUCUCUUGAGCUCCAGGCCUACUCUGAUGCUACCUGGGCUAGUGAUCCCUCUGAUCGACGCUCACUGUCUGCUUACUGUGUCUUUCUUGGCGGCUCUCUUAUUGCCUGGAAGACAAAGAAAUAGACUCCAGUUUCUCGCUCGAGUACAGAGGCUGAAUUGCUGGCCAUGGCUAUGUUGACGGCUGAGGUGAUCUGGUUACGGUGGUUACUUGAGGAUUUUGGUGUGUCUGCUACUACCUCGACUCCCUUAUUGUCAGACAGUACUGGUGUUAUCAGUAUUGCGCGUGACCCGGUGAAGCAUGAGCUCACCAAGCACAUCGGUGUGGAUGCCCACUUUGUGCGUGCUGCUAUGCAGGAUCAGACUCUCGCUCUUCACUAUGUGCCCUCUGAGUUAUAGUUGGCUGACUUCUUCACGAAGGCACAGACUCGAGCGCAGCAUACCUUUUUCCUCUCCAAACUCAGUGUUGUUGAUCCACCAUGNNNNNNNNNNNNNNNNNNNNNNNNNNNNNNNNNNNNNNNNNNNNNNNNNNNNNNNNNNNNNNNNNNNNNNNNNNNNNNNNNNNNNNNNNNNNNNNNNNNNNNNNNNNNNNNNNNNNNNNNNNNNNNNNNNNNNNNNNNNNNNNNNNNNNNNNNNNNNNNNNNNNNNNNNNNNNNNNNNNNNNNNNNNNNNNNNNNNNNNNNNNNNNNNNNNNNNNNNNNNNNNNNNNNNNNNNNNNNNNNNNNNNNNNNNNNNNNNNNNNNNNNNNNNNNNNNNNNNNNNNNNNNNNNNNNNNNNNNNNNNNNNNNNNNNNNNNNNNNNNNNNNNNNNNNNNNNNNNNNNNNNNNNNNNNNNNNNNNNNNNNNNNNNNNNNNNNNNNNAUAUCCCCAUUGUGUAAGGGGUUUCCUGCACUUUGACACACAUGUAUAUGUAAUGGCCUUUGGCCCAAAGUUCAGUUGUUGUUUAUCCAACAACCUCUAGCAGCCAGUACAGUGGGAGGACAACUACGUAAAAGAAAAAAUGUUGAGUUUUGGAGAAGAGCUAGAGAUCAGGACUUAUUGAACGAGACGAUGGGAGCUCUAUCAUGGAGCUACCAGCAUCUUAAUGAGCAGAUUAGACAAUGCUUUGCUUACUGUAGUAUGUUCCCCAGA
rnacentral:lncRNA from 1 species